GGGGAUGUAGUAUAGUCUGGUUAGUAUGCGAGGUUUGGGACUUCGUGACCCAGGUUCAAAUCCUGGCAUCCCCA
rnacentral:tRNA from 1 species